rnacentral:rRNA from 1 species
GACGAACGCUGGCGGCGUGCUUAACACAUGCAAGUCGAACGGAAAGGCCUCUUUCGGGGGGUACUCGAGUGGCGAACGGGUGAGUAACACGUGAGUAACCUGCCCUUGACUUUGGGAUAACUUCAGGAAACUGGGGCUAAUACCGGAUAGGAGCUCCUGCUGCAUGGUGGGGGUUGGAAAGUUUCGGCGGUUGGGGAUGGACUCGCGGCUUAUCAGCUUGUUGGUGGGGUAGUGGCUUACCAAGGCUUUGACGGGUAGCCGGCCUGAGAGGGUGACCGGCCACAUGGGGACUGAGAUACGGCCCAGACUCCUACGUGAGGCAGCAGUGGGGAAUAUUGCACAAUGGGUGGAAGCCUGAUGCAGCAACGCCGUGUGCGGGAUGACGGCCUUCGGGUUGUAAACCGCUUUCGCUCAUGACGAAGCUUUGUGUGACGGUAGUGGGUAAAGAAGCACCGGCUAACUACGU